rnacentral:rRNA from 1 species
AGACCCGAAACCCGGUGAUCUAGCCAUGGGCAGGUUGAAGGUUGGGUAACACUAACUGGAGGACCGAACCGACUAAUGUUGAAAAAUUAGCGGAUGACCUGUGGCUGGGGGUGAAAGGCCAAUCAAACCGGGAGAUAGCUGGUUCUCCCCGAAAGCUAUUUAGGUAGCGCCUCGUGAAUUCAUCUCCGGGGGUAGAGCACUGUUUCGGCUAGGGGGCCAUCCCGGCUUACCAACCCGAUGCAAACUGCGAAUACCGGAGAAUGUUAUCACGGGAGACACACGGCGGGUGCUAACGUCCGUCGUGAAGAGGGAAACAACCCAGACCGCCAGCUAAGGUCCCAAAGUCAUGGUUAAGUGGGAAACGAUGUGGGAAGGCCCAGACAGCCAGGAUGUUGGCUUAGAAGCAGCCAUCAUUUAAAGAAAGCGUAAUAGCUCACUGGUCGAGUCGGCCUGCGCGGAAGAUGUAACGGGGCUAAACCAUGCACCGAAGCUGCGGCAGCGACACUCAGGUGUUGUUGGGUAGGGGAGCGUUCUGUAAGCCUGUGAAGGUGGCCUGUGAGGGUUGCUGGAGGUAUCAGAAGUGCGAAUGCUGACAUAAGUAACGAUAAAGCGGGUGAAAAGCCCGCUCGCCGGAAGACCAAGGGUUCCUGUCCAACGUUAAUCGGGGCAGGGUGAGUCGACCCCUAAGGCGAGGCCGAAAGGCGUAGUCGAUGGGAAACGGGUUAAUAUUCCCGUACUUGGUGUUACUGCGAAGGGGGGACGGAGAAGGCUAUGUUGGCCGGGCGACGGUUGUCCCGGUUUAAGCGUGUAGGUGUGUGUUCCAGGUAAAUCCGGUUCACUUUAACACUGAGGCGUGACGACGAGGCACUACGGUGCUGAAGCAACAAAUGCCCUGCUUCCAGGAAAAGCCUCUAAGCAUCAGGUAACAUCAAAUCGUACCCCAAACCGACACAGGUGGUCAGGUAGAGAAUACCAAGGCGCUUGAGAGAACUCGGGUGAAGGAACUAGGCAAAAUGGUGCCGUAACUUCGGGAGAAGGCACGCUGACACGUAGGUGAAGUGAUUUACUCAUGGAGCUGAAGUCAGUCGAAGAUACCAGCUGGCUGCAACUGUUUAUUAAAAACACAGCACUGUGCAAACACGAAAGUGGACGUAUACGGUGUGACGCCUGCCCGGUGCCGGAAGGUUAAUUGAUGGGGUCAGCGCAAGCGAAGCUCCUGAUCGAAGCCCCGGUAAACGGCGGCCGUAACUAUAACGGUCCUAAGGUAGCGAAAUUCCUUGUCGGGUAAGUUCCGACCUGCACGAAUGGCGUAAUGAUGGCCAGGCUGUCUCCACCCGAGACUCAGUGAAAUUGAACUCGCUGUGAAGAUGCAGUGUACCCGCGGCAAGACGGAAAGACCCCGUGAACCUUUACUAUAGCUUGACACUGAACAUUGAGCCUUGAUGUGUAGGAUAGGUGGGAGGCUUUGAAGUGUGGACGCCAGUCUGCAUGGAGCCGACCUUGAAAUACCACCCUUUAAUGUUUGAUGUUCUAACGUGGACCCGUAAUCCGGGUUGCGGACAGUGUCUGGUGGGUAGUUUGACUGGGGCGGUCUCCUCCUAAAGAGUAACGGAGGAGCACGAAGGUUGGCUAAUCCUGGUCGGACAUCAGGAGGUUAGUGCAAUGGCAUAAGCCAGCUUGACUGCGAGCGUGACGGCGCGAGCAGGUGCGAAAGCAGGUCAUAGUGAUCCGGUGGUUCUGAAUGGAAGGGCCAUCGCUCAACGGAUAAAAGGUACUCCGGGGAUAACAGGCUGAUACCGCCCAAGAGUUCAUAUCGACGGCGGUGUUUGGCACCUCGAUGUCGGCUCAUCACAUCCUGGGGCUGAAGUAGGUCCCAAGGGUAUGGCUGUUCGCCAUUUAAAGUGGUACGCGAGCUGGGUUUAGAACGUCGUGAGACAGUUCGGUCCCUAUCUGCCGUGGGCGCUGGAGAACUGAGGGGGGCUGCUCCUAGUACGAGAGGACCGGAGUGGACGCAUCACUGGUGUUCGGGUUGUCAUGCCAAUGGCACUGCCCGGUAGCUAAAUGCGGAAGAGAUAAGUGCUGAAAGCAUCUAAGCACGAAACUUGCCCCGAGAUGAGUUCUCCCUGAGACUUUA